rnacentral:sRNA from 1 species
UAAUAUCUGCUUUACGACCUGCAGUGAUU